rnacentral:lncRNA from 1 species
UCAGAUUUUAAGAUUAUCAUAUGUCUUUCAGUUAUUGGGGCAGUUUCAAUUAAUGCCCCAAAAAUAGCAGCACAACAACACAAUUUACAAAUAUUUAAUAUCUUCUGAAAAGCAUUUCUAAGUUAAGAAUGAAAAAGUAUGUACAACCAGGUGGGUAAAGCUAGUAAAGUUAUGGCCAGCAAGUACAGCCAGGUUGAUAACUCCAACUGUGUAAGCCUUGUUGCGGGAAGUCAGUAAGGACAGCUGUGUAAACUAAGCAUGAAAUUCACAAUGGGGAAGACUAGGUGGAAAAACUAGGUAGGUAAUCCAGGUUGUUGAGACCACAUGGUUAAGGCCCACAGGUUUAGGCCAGGUGUGGAAAACCAAAGGGUUCUGCCUGUGUCAGGGGAGUUUAUCCCAGGGCUCAUUAGCACUUCCAGAAAC